UCUGCUUGGGAACGUCUACAGGGCAGAAGCCGAGCUGCAUGAAUAACUGUGAAGGAGACUUUGAGUUUACACCGUUCCAAGCUGUCAACAGCGGAACGAAAAGUGAGGUUUGUGCCUGUUCAAAGGACAGGCUCAGCCAGCUGGGCUGCCUCUGCAGAACCGGGAGACUUCCCUGACUGGGCUGUUUGGAGCAGGAGGGAAGGCUUUGGGAUUCACUAGUGGUUGUAAAGCGAGGUUUCCAAACUGACCCAGGGCCCUGGGCAGCUGAAGAUUUUCCAGGCAGAAGGGAGGAAAGGGAACUGGAAUUUAUUUUAAAAAUUAAGGAAAUACAUCUCUACUGAGAAAAUUAUUUGGAAGGACAGUAUAUUACAUUAUUUUACAUACCCAUUGUGGUAUAAGGAACCCUAUCAAAUCCUAGAAAGGAAUAUAAGACGGGAGAAAACAGUUCUUAGACACAGACUUCUUCUGAGAUUCCGGGAGGCAGGAUCACCGUUUCGGACUGAAGUCUUGGUCGUGGAACCUUCAAGGUGGAUUCUCUGGAAGAACUGGGUUGUCCCCCCUCCACUGCCGCCUCACCUCCUCAGCCCUCUUUCUUCCUGACUGCAGGGAGAAUGUGAUGGCUGACUUGAGUUCCUGCCACCAAGCCCUCCCCACCGGGAUGGACUGAGCCCAAGAAACCCUCUCCUCUUAAACUGUCACUUGUCAACAACGAGAAGCAUAACCAACAAAGAUUAUACUAUACACAUUGGUGAAAAGCAGAAACAAAGUCUUCAGAAGCAACAUUUCUUGGGAAGAGGGAGGAAAAGGUUGGAUAAAGGGCCGAUGUUUUUGUUAUGAGCCUUUUAGUUUUAUCUGACUUUUAACUGUUUUGCAGGUAAGCUUUGGUAGUGCAUCUUAAAAAUCUUGAGAAGCUCAAAGCCUCCACUGAGCUGCAAGCCAAUUCAGGUUUAGUGCCAUCCACAUGUGGGUCCACACCUCUGCUGAUGAGAGACCUCUCUAGGCAUUCUGUUUUACCUUUGAUUGUUCAUCUUUGCUUAUGGACAUGGAGUCUUCAAGUUCCUUCCAAGUCUUAUCAAGAACCAUUGACUCCCUGACUAACAGGGAUAGAAGUCCUGGAACAACUAAGAGAUCACUACCCUUGUUUGUCCCAGAAAACUGAGGCUGGCCAGCUUUGCCCUUAGUGUCGGUGUCUGAACUGACUUUUUUUACCCGAUUAUGUUUUUUUUCUAUGGCUACAGAGGGAUGCUCCCAGGAGUUCAAAUUGGUCUGGCCAUCUUCCUGAGCUCCUGUAUCCCACCCUGCAACCUCUCACUUUGGUUUUAAGCAUUGCUGGGUAGAGGUCUGUUGAUGGGAGCCAGUACCAUUUACCUUGCCCUCUGCUGCCCUCUGCUGCCAAUAGCUAGUCUUUUCUGUUCGCCCUUCCUACCCUGGCCCCCCUGGUCACAAAAAGAAGUUUGUGGGAGCACAAGUCUCCUGAGAAAAUCCUUUGUUUCCCCGCAGGAGUGCACCUGUGGACUUGUGACAUUCCACAUUGACUAGCCCCUACCUGUUAGAAAUGCAAACUCUUGUCCCUCCUCUCCCCCGUUUAUUGAGUGAGAAUCUGCUAUUUCAACUAGAUCCCUAGUGAUUCAUAUGCUCCUUAACAUUGUUGUAAGCUCGGACUCAACCAAAGGUUAGGAAAGAAUUAAAGGCCAUUUCCGUGGCCACUCUAAUAUGCAUUCUAGUCCUGUUUGUUGGUCACGUGAAUUGUGUACCAGAUGCUUUCCACAAGAGAGACGGCCAUCUGAAAUCACAGAGGACAGAAACUAGCAUACACGGAAUCUUAAGACAGACAAAACACCCACAUUGAAAGUGUGGAUUGGGGCUAGAGAAAUAGCUUCCGGCUAAGAGCUCUUUUUAGAGGACAGGGUUCGAUUCCCCACACCCACAAGGUAACUUACAACCAUCUGUAAUAUAAGUUCCUGAGAAUCUUCUACAAUUUCUGGUCUCUGGGCAUGAGGUGAAAAAAGUACCCGUACACAUAAAAUAAAUAAACUAACUAAGGGAUGCUGUAAGCUCUCACCCAGGAGAUUGCAUACCGAUUUGUACAUGUCUAUUUGUGCCUGCAGAAGCACAAUUGGUUAUUUCCAAGAGGUUUUCUGAAGAGAACUUACUCAAUGGCAGGUCAUAAAAGCCUAAGCAAUUGAUUGAGUGUCCAGUCUCUUAGCACUUUCAACAAUCCACCAGUAACACAAAGUCUGAGAUGCUUGAUCCUUCAGCUCAAGACUAAGUCAUUUUCUAGAAAAAAACAAAAAACAAAAGCAACAACGACAACAACAAAACCAAGCACUGUUUGUUAGGGAGACAUCUUUUGGUUGCAAAUGUCUUGGUAGCCCACUGGUCUUCUUUGAAUUCUAUUUCUUCCACCCACAAAUAUAGGAGUAAGUGGAGAACCAUAUUCUGAGGAACAAACAUCAUUUAUUAGGAGAAUUUAGACAAGGGUUUUGGCACCAUGCCACUCAGUGGAGUGUUUCAAAUAGAACAAGACUUUCUCCCUGAAGGCAACA